UAGGGAAUCUUCGGCAAUGGACGAAAGUCUGACCGAGCAACGCCGCGUGAGUGAAGAAGGUUUUCGGAUCGUAAAACUCUGUUGUUAGAGAAGAACAAGGACGUUAGUAACUGAACGUCCCCUGACGGUAUCUAACCAGAAAGCCACGGCUAACUACGUGCCAGCAGCCGCGGUAAUACGUAGGUGGCAAGCGUUGUCCGGAUUUAUUGGGCGUAAAGCGAGCGCAGGCGGUUUCUUAAGUCUGAUGUGAAAGCCCCCGGCUCAACCGGGGAGGGUCAUUGGAAACUGGGAGACUUGAUUGCAGAAGAGGAGAGUGGAAUUCCAUGUGUAGCGGUGAAAUGCGUAGAUAUAUGGAGGAACACCAGUGGCGAAGGCGGCUCUCUGGUCUGUAACUGACGCUGAGGCUCGAAAGCGUGGGGGGCAAACAGG
rnacentral:rRNA from 1 species